GAUGAACGCUGGCGGCGUGCCUAAUACAUGCAAGUCGAGCGAACAGAUGAGAAGCUUGCUUCUCUGAUGUUAGCGGCGGACGGGUGAGUAACACGUGGGUAACCUACCUAUAAGACUGGGAUAACUCCGGGAAACCGGGGCUAAUACCGGAUAAUAUUUUGAACCGCAUGGUUCAAUAGUGAAAGACGGUUUCGGCUGUCACUUAUAGAUGGACCCGCGCCGUAGUAGCUAGUUGGUAAGGUAACGGCUUACCAAGGCGACGAUACGUAGCCGACCUGAGAGGGGGAUCGGCCACACGGGAACUGAGACACGGUCCAGACUCCUACGGGAGGCAGCAGUAGGGAAUCUUCCGCAAUGGGCGAAAGCCUGACGGAGCAACGCCGCGUGGGUGAUGAAGGUCUUCGGAUCGUAAAACUCUGUUGUUAGGGAAGAACAAAUUUGUUAGUAACUGAACAAGUCUUGACGGUACCUAACCAGAAAGCCACGGCUAACUACGUGCCAGCAGCCGCGGUAA
rnacentral:rRNA from 1 species